rnacentral:rRNA from 1 species
AAUAGAUACCCUGGUAGUCCACGCCGUAAACGAUGAGUGCUAAGUGUUAGGGGGUUUCCGCCCCUUAGUGCUGCAGCUAACGCAUUAAGCACUCCGCCUGGGGAGUACGGUCGCAAGACUGAAACUCAAAGGAAUUGACGGGGGCCCGCACAAGCGGUGGAGCAUGUGGUUUAAUUCGAAGCAACGCGAAGAACCUUACCAGGUCUUGACAUCCCAUUGACCACUAUGGGGACAUAGUUUUCCCUUCGGGGACAACGGUGACAGGUGGUGCAUGGUUGUCGUCAGCUCGUGUCGUGAGAUGUUGGGUUAAGUCCCGCAACGAGCGCAACCCUUGUUCUUAGUUGCCAUCAUUUAGUUGGGCACUCUAAGGAGACUGCCGGUGACAAACCGGAGGAAGGUGGGGAUGACGUCAAAUCAUCAUGCCCCUUAUGACCUGGGCUACACACGUGCUACAAUGGACAGUACAAACGGUUGCCAACCCGCGAGGGGGAGCUAAUCCGAUAAAACCGUUCUCAGUUCGGAUUGUAGGCUGCAACUCGCCUACA